GUUAAUGUUCAGAGUAAGAAUACAGUUCACUCCACAUUCGCGAAACGUCACUCUCACGUAAAUGCGGGGUUGGUUUAUUCAUAUAAAAGUUGUUCGCCUCCACAAAUGCAGGCACACUUGUCGAAUGAAAGCAGGAAGAUGAACAUUACCAAUAUUUGGUACGGAAAGUGUUGCUGGUUUUGGCAGAAUUAAACGAAAGACUCCAAGUCUCAUCGCCAAAAUCUUCAAAAUUUAAAAAUUAAGUGGCCGUCCAUAAAUAAUGAGAGAUGGGGGCAUAAGACUAAGGCGACAUUAGUAUAAAUGUAUUGAGUUUGACGAUUUUGUCGAGGAAUUCAAAAUUUUGUCGGGCGGACGGUCGCAGCUGGACAAGUUACUCGAUGGAGGGUUUCAUGGGGGAGUAUAUAAGACAUACAAAGAGUUCCGGAUUCUUCUGCUCGCCAAGGGAGUUUCUGAGGCUGAAAGAAACCUUCUUUUUGCCGUACUCAUCAUCUGGCGUCAGAUAAAAAAAUAAUGGCACAUAAACCCGUCAUCCUGUAGAACCGGCCUGAAUAUACUUAAUUUGGUCAAACAAGACAACCGCACGAGGAGUUUGAUCACUGUGGCAAUUGGCGUGUUCUUGGUCGCCCUGGUUGUUCUUAUCCGGCUAUAUUUGCUUGUCAAAGCAGCCGUAAAAUUUUAACCGACUUCAUUAACUUUUGUACAUAGGAGGCUUUUCAUAUACCACACAGCAACAUUUAUUCAUUUUGCACUCGAGCAAGAAAUUCCCAGGAAUUUUAGGAAAAUUUGAAUAGAUAGUUGUGUAUAUGUGGAUAAGAGAUUAUUCUCUUAUGUUUGAAACCUCCAUCGGGUCUGAAAUCUACAGCUGCAUUUAAUUUUUUAAGCAUUCUCUGUAUAAGAAUGUUCACUGUCAAAAUUCAUGUUUUCUUCAGCUGAACCAAUAAA